CGCGGGAAUCCGAUGCUGUGCGCUAAUUUUCAUGGGCACGAAUCCGACGCUGUGCGGUGAUUCGUAUGCCCGGGAAUCACUCAGUCUGCUAACUUUUGCUUCAGCGGACGCGACCGCAUCAGUCACUCAGCACUACUUUUGCUUCAGCGGACGCGACCGUAUCAGUCACUCAGCACUGCUUUUGCUUUAGAGGACACGACGGCACUGCGGGAAUUAACUCACUCGGUGCGGGAAUCCGAGGCUGCAGUAGGAUGAGUUUUAACCUGAUCUGCCGACACUACAGGGAUCCUCUUCCUUUUUAUAUGCCAUGCUUCAGCUCCGUGCGUAAGCAUACUCUAUGUGACCUCGUUCCUCUCCUUUGCUCUCUAAGUCUCUAAGUACAGAGAGAAAAAGGCUCAGUAAGCACUUUCACUCGUGAUUUAGGACGAUUUAGAGUUGGAUUUUGAAAAUGAUGAAGUUGAAGAAAAGAUAGAUUAAGGCAUUAUUUCAGCACUUGGAGGAGUCAUUUGGAGUUUCUGGAGUAGGAUUUGCCGUGCAAAGUGAAGUACGAAGGGGAAGAACGAGGUUGACUCCGUUCAUAUAAUACUGGUGACGGAUAUUUAUUCGAACUAUUUUGACGCUUAAUUGCAGUCGCAAGCACAUCCAUAUUGGAGCUGAGGUACUAUGGAAAAUUUAUUAGUGUACUAUGGGAACGUCUUACGCGACGGUCCUUUCGGGGUGGAUGUGUUCUUCUGCGAGUCGACUACAGUUGUAGUUAGAGACAUGGUCAACGUGGGUUAUUCAACUGUCAGAAGGUGCAUCCGAGCGGUGUUUGGCCCAGGGAUGCAGGGAAAAAAUUUGACAACGGAGGCCUUCGUCGCUGACGGAGCAAAUGAUGGGAUAGCUGCCCGUUGGGGUUUGCGGCCUGUCACAGGUGAUCAGUCGUGGGGGUCGUACAUGAGGUUUGCAAGCAAUCCCAAUAACCCAGUGUUUGGUCAGCCGAUGGUGUAUGCGGAGUUCAUUUCAGUCACUGAUGUUGCCGAAUGCAAUAGCAGGGGCGGUGAGGUCGAGUUGGCCAUCACAUCAGCCCCUAGCAUCGGCCCAUCGGAACUGACGGGCGACCAGCCUGUGUAUGACACAGGAUAUUGGUCUGCGGCCGUUGACAUGAGUGAACAUGUGGAGGGAUUGCCGGAGGCGCUAGAUGAUGACGAUCACUCUUCCGCGUCUUCCGAGUCAAGCGAAGAAGAAGAUGUUCCUCCCGAGAGGGCGGUCACGGCGUCACUGCAACCUGGGUUUUUACAGGAUAUGAGCAUCACAAAUGAAUUUCACUCUGGAGCCUGGAGGUUGGGCAGGUUUUCCCAGACAAGAAGUCUGCUUACCAGGCAAUUAAUAGGUAUGCAAUCGCCCUCCACCGCCAGCAUAAAGUGAAGCAGUCUGAUAAAAAAGAGUUGAAGGUCAUAUGCAUCCACACCAUGGAAGGUUGCCGCGGAAGAGUUCUCGCUAGACUGAAGCCUGGGGUAUGUUGAAGGAAAUAUGCCCUAGAGGCAAUAAUAAAGUUAUUAUUUAUUUCCUUAUUUCAUGAUAAACCUUUAUUAUUCAUGCUAGAAUUGUAUUAACCGGAAACUUGAUACAUGUGUGAAUACA